GACGAACGCUGGCGGCGUGCUUAACACAUGCAAGUGGAGCGACGAACCAGGCUUCGGCCUGGGGCAGAGCCGCGAACGGGUGAGUAACACGUGGGUAACGUGCCCCGAUGACCGGGACAACCCGGGGAAACCCGGGCUAAUACCGGAUGUGCUGUCCCAACCUCAGUUGGAUUGGAAAGGAAGCUUCGGCCUCCGCAUCGGGAUCGGCCCGCGGCCCAUUAGCUUGUUGGUGAGGUAACGGCUCACCAAGGCCGCGAUGGGUAGCUGGUCUGAGAGGACGAUCAGCCACACUGGGACUGAGACACGGCCCAGACUCCUACGGGAGGCAGCAGUGGGGAAUCUUGCGCAAUGCGCGAAAGCGUGACGCAGCAACGCCGCGUGGGGGAAGAAGGCCUUCGGGUUGUAAACCCCUUUCAGGAGGGACGAAGGUUGGGCGGUGAAUAGCCGACCUGACUGACGGUACCUCCAGAAGAAGCCCCGGCUAACUACGUGCCAGCCGCCGCAGUAAGAC
rnacentral:rRNA from 1 species